rnacentral:rRNA from 1 species
GACGUAGGGCGCGAGCGUUGUCCGGAUUUAUUGGGCGUAAAGAGCUCGUAGGCGGCUUGUCGCGUCGACUGUGAAAACCCGCGGCUCAACUGCGGGCCUGCAGCCGAUACGGGCAGGCUAGAGUUCGGUAGGGGAGACUGGAAUUCCUGGUGUAGCGGUGAAAUGCGUAGAUAUCUGGAGGAACACCGGUGGCGAAGGCGGCAUCCUGGACCGGCAUUGACGCUGAGGCGCGAAAGCCAGGGGAGCAAACGGG